rnacentral:rRNA from 1 species
CCUACGGGAGGCAGCAGUGGGGAAUUUUGGACAAUGGGCGAAAGCCUGAUCCAGCAAUGCCGCGUGAGUGAAGAAGGCCUUCGGGUUGUAAAGCUCUUUUGUCAGGGAAGAAACGGUGAGAGCUAAUAUCUCUUGCUAAUGACGGUACCUGAAGAAUAAGCACCGGCUAACUACGUGCCAGCAGCCGCGGUAAUACGUAGGGUGCAAGCGUUAAUCGGAAUUACUGGGCGUAAAGCGUGCGCAGGCGGUUUUGUAAGUCUGAUGUGAAAUCCCCGGGCUCAACCUGGGAAUUGCAUUGGAGACUGCAAGGCUAGAAUCUGGCAGAGGGGGGUAGAAUUCCACGUGUAGCAGUGAAAUGCGUAGAUAUGUGGAGGAACACCGAUGGCGAAGGCAGCCCCCUGGGUCAAGAUUGACGCUCAUGCACGAAAGCGUGGGGAGCAAACAGGAUUAGAUACCCUGGUAGUCCACGCCCUAAACGAUGUCUACUAGUUGUCGGGUCUUAAUUGACUUGGUAACGCAGCUAACGCGUGAAGUAGACCGCCUGGGGAGUACGGUCGCAAGAUUAAACGUCAAAUGAAAUUGACCGGNUGAGAGNGCGAGGACGACGACGAGGGAGAGG